rnacentral:rRNA from 1 species
CUACGGGUUGCUGCAGUGAGGAAUAUUGCACAAUGGGGGGAACCCUGAUGCAGCAACGCCGCGUGGAGGAUGACGCAUUUCGGUGUGUAAACUCCUUUUAUAUGUCAAGAAAAUGACGGUAGCAUAUGAAUAAGCACCGGCUAACUCCGUGCCAGCAGCCGCGGUAAUACGGAGGGUGCAAGCGUUACUCGGAAUCACUGGGCGUAAAGGACGCGUAGGCGGGUUGGAAAGUCAGGUGUGAAAUCCUACAGCUUAACUGUAGAACUGCACUUGAAACUUCUAAUCUAGAGUAUGGGAGGGGGAGAUGGAAUUAGUGGUGUAGGGGUAAAAUCCGUAGAUAUCACUAGGAAUACCUAAAGCGAAGGCGAUCUCCUGGAACAUUACUGACGCUAAGGCGUGAAAGCGUGGGGAGCAAACAGGAUUAGAUACCCCCGUAGUC